CACCAGUUGCGAAGGCGGCUCUCUGGACUGUAACUGACGAUGAGGCAAGAAAGAGUGGGGAGAAAACAGGAUUAGAUACACUGGUAGUCCACGCUGUAAACGAUGAGUACGAGGUGUCGGGGGUUACACUCUUCGGUGCCGCAGCUAACGCAUUAAGUACUCCGCCGGGGAAGUAAGCUCGCAAGAGGGAAACUAAAAGGAAGUGACGGGGACAAGCACAAGUAGCGGAGCAUGUGGUUUAAUUCGAAGCAACGC
rnacentral:rRNA from 1 species